rnacentral:rRNA from 1 species
UGAGUAACGCGUGAGGAACCUGCCUUCCAGAGGGGGACAACAGUUGGAAACGACUGCUAAUACCGCAUGAAACAUUUGAACCGCAUGGUUUGAAUGUCAAAGAUUUAUCGCUGGAAGAUGGCCUCGCGUCUGAUUAGCUAGUAGGCGGGGUAACGGCCCACCUAGGCGACGAUCAGUAGCCGGACUGAGAGGUUGACCGGCCACAUUGGGACUGAGAUACGGCCCAGACUCCUACGGAAGGCAGCAG